GGAUUCAAACCUAUUCCGGUUUAUAGGCAUUGCGGCUUUUAAAGGGGCACAUUUUAAAUUGAACCGCCCGUGAAUGUGGUCUCCACCAACCCCUGAACAACACCUUCAUCCCUUUAACUGGCACACCAAGAGAAACAAUAUCACCAAAAGGGUUCUGUAUGUGUAUUUAGCCUCAAUAUGGGCCGUAAAUUAAUCAUUUUUGACUACAUGACUUAAACUUUGAUAGAGAAUGCAUCACAAACAUCUCAACCCCGUUGGUUGACCUGACCAAUCAGGGUAAACUGAUUUAGUGUUGGAUUUGCAUAGACUUUUUAAAUCAUCUAAAAAAAAAUGAUCCAUUCAUUUACAUUGUCUGCUGAAGAUAGGCCUAAUUAAAUCGGGACUGAUAUCUAUAUAUUAACAAAAUAUUAUACAUUUGUGUAUAAUAUUUAAAUGCAUGUCAAUUUAUAUUUUAUAUUUUACAGUUUAUAUGUUUAGAACACAAUUAAAAUGACAUGUGCUGAAUAUAUAGUGAAACACAUGGAAGAUGACAGGCAGUAAAUAAUGAUAUGCAUUUUGAAAGGAUUUUUGUAUUUGCGCAGACCAGGAAAUCCCAUAACAAUAUGUCUCUAUUGUCCGUCAUCACUAGCUUUGAUUUCAUUCCUUUAAUGGGCAACUCAAUAUGUCUCUCUUGUCCGUCAUCACUAGCUUUGAUUUCAUGGCUUUACUUUAAUGGGCAACUCAAUAUGUCUCUAUUGUCUGUCAUCAGCAACCUUGUCAUUUCACAUUUUAAACACACAAUUAGCCCCUACGACCCUAGUACCCUACCGCUAGCCCCUAUAACCCUAGAAUGAUACCGCUAGCCCCUAUAACCCUAGUAGCCCCUUUAAGGGUUUAAAAGGGCCGAUGGUAUUGAAUCCCAGCCUUAUACGUUGACGAUAUGUUUCUGAUUGACUACUGUAGCAACAAGGCUGAGGAGUUGCAUCAUCUACCCAGGGAUGAACUGAAGAGAGAUCUGACAUGUUUAUACCGUUAGAGUCCAGUAUCAGAGUAAGGAUAUGGGCCGCAGACGGCCAACACUGAAACGCGGACAUUUUGGUUCCUUUAUACGAUCUGCUGCUUUCUAGGACUGUCUGUGUGUAUCACCUCUGCUUGUCAUCCGAACCCCUCCAAGGUAAUGGAAGCUCCUGUAGCUUUCAGUGACCUCACCAAUAAACACUUCCUGCUAACAGACUCUGGUCCCUGGAUGUAUUUCUGUUCGUCACACGUGCAGAAGACCCUGGACACCACGUAUCAAACUCCAGGCCUUGAGGGCCUUGUGUGUCUGGGGUUUUUCUCUCUUCACUUGAUUUGAUCAAUUAAGGUCCUUAAUGAGUUAGACUACCAGCCAAGGGGACUUCCUGUGUCGUAACUGGACAGGAAAUAAGGUUGUCUCUACACUGACAUGGGACUUCUGCGACCAGAAUAGAAGAUCACAUUGAAAAGACGGGUUCUACACGCACACAAGUGUUCUUCCUGUUCAGAUCUGUCUUGACCAUUUCAGGUGGUGGUCGGGGAUGUGCGCAGGUUUCCUCCUCAGUCUGGACCCAAUCGGGCUCCUGAAAGAGCAUACAGUGGUGACGUCAUUAGCGCACUUCCCACAAGAAGAAAAUGUGUGUUUUGGAGGUUGGUAGUACCAGAGUGUCCUCUGGGCGCUUCGCUCUCGGAGCGUUCACAGCGUUCACACUGGACGCUCUGGCCGAGGAGGAGAGUUGAUCCUGACCUCACACCAGCAGUCACCCACCCAAGCUAACUGGCUAAAGUUGGCUAGCUACACUAUUAAUGGAGGUGUGGAGGAGGUGUGUCUACAGAUCCACUGUAUUAAUGGAGGUGUGUCUACUGAUACACUGUAUUAAUGGAGGUGUGGAGGAGGUGUGUCUACAGAUCCACUGUAUUAAUGGAGGUGUGUCUACAGAUACACUGUAUUAAUGGAGGUGUGGAGGAGGUGUGUCUACUGAUACACUGUAUUAAUGGAGGUGUGGAGGAGGUGUGUCUAUAGAUACACUGUAUUAAUGGAGGUGUGUCUAUAGAUCCACUGUAUUAAUGGAGGUGUGGAGGAGGUGGGUCUACAGAUACACUGUAUUANNNNNNNNNNCCGCAGACGGCCAACACUGAAACGCGGACAUUUUGGUUCCUUUAUACGAUCUGCUGCUUUCUAGGACUGUCUGUGUGUAUCACCUCUGCUUGUCAUCCGAACCCCUCCAAGGUAAUGGAAGCUCCUGUAGCUUUCAGUGACCUCACCAAUAAACACUUCCUGCUAACAGACUCUGGUCCCUGGAUGUAUUUCUGUUCGUCACACGUGCAGAAGACCCUGGACACCACGUAUCAAACUCCAGGCCUUGAGGGC
rnacentral:lncRNA from 13 species